GAUGAACUAGCAAUUGGCUGAGCCCUCAAGGGUUACCUCAAGAGUUAACACAUUGCUGUUAAUGUAGCCUCCCACUCUACAAGGCAACAUGAAUGGAGGGAGGGGAGACAGCAUGGCAGACAGAGACACACACACGGUGUGUGGGAGAGGGAGAAGAUGCA